rnacentral:rRNA from 1 species
GACGAACGCUGGCGGCGUGCCUAACACAUGCAAGUCGAGCGGGGUCCAUCCAGUGGCAACACUGGGGAAGACCUAGCGGCGAACGGGUGAGUAACACGUGAGAAACCUGCCCUGAAGUCUGGGAUAACCCGAGGAAACUCGAGCUAAUACCGGAUGCCCCCACCGAGUCGCAUGGCUUGGUGAGGAAAGAUUCAUCGCUUCAGGAGGGUCUCGCGGCCUAUCAGCUAGUUGGCGGGGUAACGGCCCACCAAGGCAUCGACGGGUAGCUGGUCUGAGAGGACGAUCAGCCACACUGGGACUGAGACACGGCCCAGACUCCUACGGGAGGCAGCAGUGGGGAAUAUUGCGCAAUGGGCGAAAGCCUGACGCAGCAACGCCGCGCGCGGGAUGACGGCCUCGGUGU